rnacentral:rRNA from 1 species
UACGUAGGGUGCGAGCGUUGUCCGGAAUUAUUGGGCGUAAAGAGCUCGUAGGCGGUGUGUCACGUCGAUCGUGAAAACUUACAGCUUAACUGUGAGCGUGCGGUCGAUACGGGCAUCACUGGAGUUCGGCAGGGGAGACUGGAAUUCCUGGUGUAGCGGUGAAAUGCGCAGAUAUCAGGAGGAACACCGGUGGCGAAGGCGGUUCUCUGGGCAUUACCUGACGCUGAGGAGCGAAAGUGUGGGGAGCGAACAGG